rnacentral:rRNA from 1 species
GGGAUUGCCUCAGUAACGGCGAGUGAAGCGGCAAAAGCUCAAAUUUGAAAUCUAGCACUUUCAGUGUUCGAGUUGUAAUUUGAAGAAGGUAACUUUGGUUUUGGCUCUUGUCUAUGUUCCUUGGAACAGGACGUCACAGAGGGUGAGAAUCCCGUGCGAUGAGAUGCCCAAUUCCAUGUAAAGUGCUUUCGAAGAGUCGAGUUGUUUGGGAAUGCAGCUCUAAGUGGGUGGUAAAUUCCAUCUAAAGCUAAAUAUUGGCGAGAGACCGAUAGCGAACAAGUACAGUGAUGGAAAGAUGAAAAGAACUUUGAAAAGAGAGUGAAAAAGUACGUGAAAUUGUUGAAAGGGAAGGGCUUGAGAUCAGACUUGGUAUUUUGCGUUCCCUUCCUUUUUGGUUGGGUUCCUCGCAGUUUACUGGGCCAGCAUCGGUUUGGAUGGUAGGAUAAUGACAUUGGAAUGUAGCUUUACUUCGGUGAAGUGUUAUAGACUUUGUUGAUACUGCCUAUCUAGACCGAGGACUGCGUCUUUGACUAGGAUGCUGGCGUAAUGAUCUUAAGCCGCCCGUCUUGAAACACGGACCUCCUGUGUGAA